rnacentral:lncRNA from 1 species
AACCUCCUUCUAACAGAAUAAAAAACUUCAUAACCCGGCAAACAUGACUACUCAAGAAACUCAAAUACACCUCCGGGUGCGACGACGACGACUGAUACAUCCAUUAACGUCUAGAUAGAAACCUUCAAAGCGCGAUCAAAUCAUAACAGAUUUGCAAAGCAAGGACAAGGAGAAAAGCCUAAUCUCUCAAAUAACACCGAACUUGAACGAGCAAGAUCACGAUGGAGCGAGACAGUUAUCAACCACAGCGAGCAACACCAAGA